rnacentral:rRNA from 1 species
UACCAGCACCCCGAGUGGUCGGGACGUUUUUAUUGGGCCUAAAGCAUCCGUAGCCGGUUCUACAAGUCUUUCCGUUAAAUCCAACUGCUUAACAGGUGGGCUGCGGAAGAUACUAUAGAGCUAGGAGGCGGGAGAGGCAAGCGGUACUCGAUGGGUAGGGGUAAAAUCCGUUGAUCCAUUGAAGACCACCAGUGGCGAAGGCGGCUUGCCAGAACGCGCUUCGCGGUAGGGAUGAAAGCUGGGGGAGCAACAGG